rnacentral:rRNA from 1 species
CAUGCAGUCGAACGAGAACGGAUUAUAGCUUGCUAUAAUUGUCAGCUAAGUGGCGCACGGGUGAGUAAUAUAUAGGUAACGUGCCCCAAAGAAGAGGAUAACAGAUGGAAACGUCUGCUAAGACUCUAUAUGCCUUUAUGACAAAAGUCAGCAAGGGAAAUAUUUAUAGCUUUGGGAUCGGCCUGUACAGUAUCAGUUAGUUGGUGAGGUAAUGGCUCACCAAGACAAUGACGCUUAACUGGUUUGAGAGGAUGAUCAGUCACACUGGAACUGAGACACGGUCCAGACUCCUACGGGAGGCAGCAGUGGGGAAUAUUGCACAAUGGACGAAAGUCUGAUGCAGCAACGCCGCGUGGAGGAUGACACAUUUCGGUGCGUAAACUCCUUUUAUAUGGGAAGAUAAUGACGGUACCAUAUGAAUAAGCACCGGCUAACUCCGUGCCAGCAGCCGCGGUAAUACGGAGGGUGCAAGCGUUACUCGGAAUCACUGGGCGUAAAGAGCGUGUAGGCGGAUAGGUAAGUCAGAAGUGAAAUCCAAUAGCUCAACUAUUGAACUGCUUUUGAAACUGCUUAUCUAGAAUAUGGGAGAGGUAGAUGGAAUUUCUGGUGUAGGGGUAAAAUCCGUAGAGAUCAGAAGGAAUACCGAUUGCGAAGGCGAUCUACUGGAACAUUAUUGACGCUGAGACGCGAAAGCGUGGGGAGCAAGCAGGAUUAGAUACCCUGGUAGUCCACGCCCUAAACGAUGUACACUAGUUGUUGUGAGGCUCGACCUUGCAGUAAUGCAGUUAACACAUUAAGUGUACCGCCUGGGGAGUACGGUCGCAAGAUUAAAACUCAAAGGAAUAGACGGGGACCCGCACAAGCGGUGGAGCAUGUGGUUUAAUUCGACGAUACACGAAGAACCUUACCUGGACUUGACAUAGUAAGAACUUUCUAGAGAUAGAUUGGUGUCUGCUUUGCAGAAACUU